GCUGCUGUUGCUGCUGCUGCUGCUGCUGUCGAGGCGUCUCGCUGGUAUCCGGUCAGAGCAGGGAGGUGAGCGCUACUCGGACGGGCAUAUCAUGCCGUAUAUGGCAGUUUAGACCUUAGCGCUGCUGAAGAAACACUGCAGUGCGGAGCAGUAAGCGGACAAGGACAUGAGCGACGUUCUAUGACUUUUUUCGCCGCGGCUCCGAUGACGACGACUGCAGCGGUGCGUCCCGGAUGAAGCGGCAGGCAUAGAGGGCGAUUGCUGAAAAAUGUGCGUCACAAAGAGUUCUCCAGUUGGAAUCGUUGUGAUAUGUACAGAUCGCGGGCAGUGGUGCCAGGAGUAACGAUGGAUCGCGUUGGAAGCAUUUUGGAGUCGAAGAGGCGAUGGCAGAUUUGGAUCAACGUUACGAGAAAUUUGGAGUUUUGUCGCAAGGCAAAGUUUGACACCAUGCAGGUUGUUUGUGGCAUCUAGAGUUGCCACAUAUAUAGAUGAAAGACGCAUGCUUUAGCCAGAGUGCUUGAAAGCACUUGAAACUGUUCCACUGGCACGCACGACGAUGAAGGUUCACUGUUGUUCUGUUGGUUGGUGUCCGUCGCUCAAGAGCUGCGUGCAAUGGACUCACUUGUAAACACAUCCGUUCAGGAGCAAGCAUCUAUUGUGUGAAUAGGUGCAUCACGAUGCUAUCUGCCGGGUUGCACUGUACUUGCGCCUCUGAGGGCUCUGCGACCGUUUGCGCUGUUCAGGCGCUUUCAUGUUGACGCAGUUUCACUUCGCCGAGACGCCUGAAUGGUUUUGUAUGCUACGUGCACCAUUCAUCAAACUACAUGGUCCAAAUAUGCGUAUACCGUACGAUUUGUCGAGUCGUAGACAAGCACCAGUCUUGCUGGGCAACCCGAUAUGUGCUUAUGCGCUCGCGGAUAUGGCGGGCGUCCGCUUUCUCUCUCGCUCUCGCUCAGUCAUGCGGUUGUCGUACAGGGAUUGAUACGACAAGUGCGUGGAGCACGCUUUGACAUCGAUGAUCCGACAGUUGUAUCGCAGGAAAUCAGCCUUCAAGCUCAUGAAUCGCCCUGACGCCUGCAGUCGUGGCCGAUGUGACCAGUACCUGCGAGCGUACAUGGCCCGCUGCAUGAAUCCAUGAAAGGUGCGCUUCGAGUCACUGACGAAUACAGGAGCAGCGUACCCGGCAGUCGCUGACUCCUGCGUACAUCGCGCAUUGUCUUGUAGAGCACUUCGUCUACUGGGAACGCGAUGUCACUGUGCCGGGACGCAGAAAGUCCAGCCUGCAAAAGUUGGUACCUGGACACGGUCGAGGCCUCCGCCGAAAUCUCCCAUAUCUUCAAGAUUUUGCGGGGCACAAGCUCGCGAGUCCAGUCUCUACGCCAGGCUGCCCACGAGCAGGAGAAACCGAAACAAAGCAUCCCCAGCGCUUCGUCACAUUGUGCAUUAAACGGAGGCUGGCAGGUUAUCGCUCACCAGCGGAUGCCCGCGAGUGACGGUCCCGUGCACCCGGUGGCAGAUCCCGGAGCAAUACUCCUCAGAGCGUCGAGCGAAACCGGUAUCCGAAUCAAAUAGAACGCGUCUUCGAACUCGGUGUACAAGUUGCUGUUCUUGUCGAUAGAGAAUUUGCGGAACCCGAUGUUGCCUCUGAUAAAACGAGUAACCGAUAAAAAA